UACAGAGGGUGCAAGCGUUGUUCGGAAUUAUUGGGCGUAAAGCGCGCGCAGGCGGUCCUUUAAGUCUGAUGUGAAAGCCCACGGCUCAACCGUGGAGGGUCAUUGGAAACUGGGGGACUUGAGUACAGAAGAGAAGAGUGGAAUUCCACGUGUAGCGGUGAAAUGCGUAGAGAUGUGGAGGAACACCAGUGGCGAAGGCGACUCUUUGGUCUGUAACUGACGCUGAGGCGCGAAAGCGUGGGGAGCAAGCAGG
rnacentral:rRNA from 1 species